rnacentral:lncRNA from 1 species
GGAAUUUCUAUCAACUAGAUGACAUCAUGAAUGUAACAGUAGUAAGGUUGGUAGUGAAAUCACUCCUGAUAAGAGGAGUUUGAAGUCUAUUAGGAAGUGGAAGAGCAAUGAAGUGACUACCCCUACGAGAACAUUUUACAUCACAGUUGCAAAGAACACAUCUAUCCUCUUCAUUAAAUCAACUGGUGUCCUUGAAGCUCCGGCUCAGCUGCCCUCUGACCCAAGAGAAGCAACAAAAUCCUAAAUCUCACUCCUCUGGCAAGAUCCACCAGGAGGUGAUUUGUUGAACAGCUUGUUAUGUGUGUUGAGAGAAGAUCUUCUACAACUAUUAGGAACAAACACAAGCCCAAGUUUUGAAAAAGUCAAGCAAAAAUGAAAUUGAAAUAGGAUAGAGAUUUGUUUUCCCCUUCUGCGUGUCUUCUCUCUACUGAAUUUCUUU